AUAGUGUAAUGGUUUGCACUCUGGACUUUGAGUCCAGCAAUCCGAGUUCAUAUCUCUGU
rnacentral:tRNA from 1 species